GCGCCAGUAGCUCAGUAGGAUAGAGCGGAGGAUUUCUAAUCCUCUGGUCGGGGGUUCGAAUCCCUCCUGGCGUGCCA
rnacentral:tRNA from 1 species